GAUACAGCAAAUAAGGAAUUUCGUAAUGAUGUUGGAAACAAUUAUAUAUACAAAUAGAACAGGCUAAACUGGGUUAAAUUAAGUUAAAGCUGCCGCCUUACAUAUUUUAAGUUUGGCCUAAAAGUCGCUCCGUAUAUAGUGAACCGUAACCUAACUGGAUACGUAAACAGACUGUAACCUAUCACAGGCCACCAACUGUUCAAACGAGGCAGACACUGAGCUGGAACCAGUCCAGUUGUUUCUGUGCCUCACUUCUGUUUUCUGUCCACCACUUUCCUCUUUCUGUCCAUAAAUACUAUCCAACCACACGGCAGCCCCGCAGUUGCUCCAGACCUAUUCUGGCUCCAGGAGAUGGGGGUGCUGCCCAAUUUGUGAAUCCCUCUUUGAUCAGUUAAACUGUUUACUGUGUCUAAAGUUUUUCUUUUAACAAGCAAAUAAGUGAUUAUGUUAAUUAGAGUAAAGAAGUACAAAUAUAAAAUCAAAGAAGCCACAGGGCAGGAGCUGUUCAAAAGCAAGCCUGAGAUCGAAUUGCCAGGCUAGCAGAGCUCCAAGAAUACUGAAUGAUAGCCUCAGUAGGUCUCGUAUGUCAAGGUCGAAGAUCCAGUAUGAUAAUCAUGAGAAUCAGAGACCAGGAUGAGGAUAUUUGGUUGCAUGAACCUGACCACCUUGAACCAUCAGCUACCUCUUAAUCCUCCAGAGACUCUGAUUUGGAGCCAAGGAAUCUGCAUAAUUAAUAGGCUCUCCAAGUGAUACAGCAGAUGCAAGGAGCACAUUGAGAAACAUCACUGACCCACAUCACAGGUCUGCAUGUGAGAACAAUAGGAGUACCACAAAGAAUUGAGGAUUUGGGAGGGGAAAAAAGGACGUGAGGAUGAAGAGAGCCAAAGACAAGAUCCAGCUGCUGAUCCCAGUAGAGUGGGAAACUGACAACAUUGUCCUAAAUAAGAUGGAAGGGGAAUUUUCCAAAAUAGAGGACAAUACACCCAUGUGGAUGUCAUGGGAGACUAGCUCCUCUUACUGUUCUAGAUGCAAUUUUAAUAUGGAUUAUGUCAUCAAAAAGAAAGAGCUGACAUUAGGCUAGGGAUGGUAGCUCAGGCCUGUCAUCCCAGCACUUUGGGAGGGUGAGGCGGGUGGAUCUCCUGAGGUCAGGAGUUUGAGACCAGCCUGGCCAACAUGAUGAAACCCUGUCUCUGCUACAAAAACAAAAAUUAGCAGGGGGUGGUGGUGAGCGCCUAUAAUCUCAGCUACUCAGGAGGGUGAGGCAGGAGAAUCACUUGAACCCCAGGGGGCGGAGAUUGCAGUGAACUGAGAUUGAGCCACU